UACGAGGAGUUAGUAGUACUAUGGCUCAGGACGAACGCUGGCGGCGUGCUUAACACAUGCAAGUCGAGCGAUGAAGCGUCCUUCGGGGAGUGGAUUAGCGGCGGACGGGUGAGUAACACGUGGGUAACCUGCCUCAUAGAGGGGAAUAGCCUUUCGAAAGGAAGAUUAAUACCGCAUAAGAUUGUAGUACCGCAUGGUACAGCAAUUAAAGGAGUAAUCCGCUAUGAGAUGGACCCGCGUCGCAUUAGCUAGUUGGUGAGGUAACGGCUCACCAAGGCGACGAUGCGUAGCCGACCUGAGAGGGUGAUCGGCCACAUUGGGACUGAGGCACGGCCCAGACUCCUACGGGAGGCAGCAGUGGGGAAUAUUGCACAAUGGGGGAAACCCUGAUGCAAGCAACGCCGCGUGAGUGAUGACGGUCUUCGGAUUGUAAAGCUCUGUCUUUAGGGACGAUAAUGACGGUACCUAAGGAGGAAGCCACGGCUAACUACGUGCCAGCCGCAGC
rnacentral:rRNA from 1 species